rnacentral:tRNA from 1 species
GUCUCUGUGGCGCAAUCGGUUAGCGCGUUCGGCUAUUGACCGAAAGGUUGGUGGUUCGAGCCCACCCAGGGACG